rnacentral:rRNA from 1 species
GGAUGAACGCUAGCUACAGGCUUAACACAUGCAAGUCGCAGGGUAACAUGAGGAAAGCUUGCUUUCCUUGAUGACGACUGGCGCACGGGUGAGUAACGCGUAUCCAACCUUCCCAUAACUACGGGAUAACCCGUUGAAAGACGGCCUAAUACCGUAUGACAUCGUUUGCUGACAUCAAAUAACGAUUAAAGGUUUAGCGGUUAUGGAUGGGGAUGCGUCUGAUUAGCUUGUUGGCGGGGUAACGGCCCACCAAGGCGACGAUCAGUAGGGGUUCUGAGAGGAAGGUCCCCCACAUUGGAACUGAGACACGGUCCAAACUCCUACGGGAGGCAGCAGUGAGGAAUAUUGGUCAAUGGACGAGAGUCUGAACCAGCCAAGUAGCGUGAAGGAUGAAGGUCCUACGGAUUGUAAACUUCUUUUAUAAGGGAAUAAACCCUCCCACGUGUGGGAGCUUGUAUGUACCUUAUGAAUAAGCAUCGGCUAACUCCGUGCCAGCAGCCGCGGUAAUACGGAGGAUGCGAGCGUUAUCCGGAUUUAUUGGGUUUAAAGGGAGCGCAGACGGGUCGUUAAGUCAGCUGUGAAAGUUUGGGGCUCAACCUUAAAAUUGCAGUUGAUACUGGCGUCCUUGAGUGCGGUUGAGUGUGCGGAAUUCGUGGUGUAGCGGUGAAAUGCUUAGAUAUCACGAAGAACUCCGAUUGCGAAGCAGCACACUAAUCCGUAACUGACGUUCAUGCUCGAAAGUGUGGGUAUCAAACAGGAUUAGAUACCCUGGUAGUCCACACGGUAAACGAUGGAUACUCGCUGUUGGCGAUAUACUGUCAGCGGCUUAGCGAAGCGUUAAGUAUCCCACCUGGGGAGUACGCCGGCAACGGUGAAACUCAAAGGAAUUGACGGAA